rnacentral:rRNA from 1 species
UACGAAGGGGGCUAGCGUUGCUCGGAAUCACUGGGCGUAAAGGGUGCGUAGGCGGGUCUUUAAGUCAGGGGUGAAAUCCUGGAGCUCAACUCCAGAACUGCCCUUGAUACUGAGAGGCUCGAGUCCGGGAGAGGUGAGUAGAACUCCGAGUGUAGAGGUGAAAUUCGUAGAUAUUCGGAAGAACACCAGUGGCGAAGGCGGCUCACUGGCCCGGUACUGACGCUGAGGUGCGAAAGCGUGGGGAGCAAACAGG